UAAAAAAAUUGGUUGCUUAUAUAGGGAAUCACUGAAGCGUGACUGGAGCGGGCCCCCUCUUAGGUCAGUCAGUGGGCCCCCACUUAUGAAAAUUUCUGGAUCCGCCACUGUAUUAAAAAUUCAAAUCAUGAAAAUUGAUAUGCAUAAAUUAAGAUGAAUUCUCAAUACAUCUAUCCUUAAAAUAUUCUUUGUUGAAUAUUCCAUCUCAAAAGUUCAAAAAGUUAAAUAAAAUUGAGAAAGGAAAUGGGGAAUGUGUCAAAGCGACAACAACCUGACCAUAGAGCAGACGACAACAGCCGAAGGCCACCAAUGGGUCUUUAAUGUAGCGAGAACUACAUCCCACUUUUCCUAGUUCAUACAAUCAUUUCAACCUCUGACACUCAACAAAGAAUUAAUUUAAGGAAGGCCUCAACAUCAUAACUAUAAUUUGUAAAAGAUAUAUACCCACAGAUAAAUUGUAUCACAGAUCGCAUUUUUUACAUACUUACACAAAAUCUAACAAGUUAUAAAACACUUAACACAGAAAUUAACAAUUAUGGAUUCCGAAGCAAAUUGUAGGAAUUUAAUAUCAGAUGAAACAGAAAACCUAGCAAAAAGGAUUCGAAACAUACAUACUAGUUGGUAUAUUUGAGACAGCAGACCUAGAUGAUCAUUACAAGUACAGGGGCAGAUUUGGCCUUUUUGAAAAGGGGGGGUCCAAAUAUAUAUACCCAUUCAAAUGCAUUGAUCCUAAAAAAUAAAAUGGGGAGUUUCAACCCCUGGAUUCAUUUUGCUAUAUUUUCUAUCAUGUUUCUUCAUACAACAGAAAAAUAUGUGCAUUUGAAGAGUGAACGAAACAAAAUUUUCAAAUGCAACAUACGACUGUUCUUACUUUAUAUAACAGAAAUGACAAACAAUUGUAAUUAGUGCAACAUGUAAAAAAAUUGGAAGUACAGCCAUUUUCUCUGUUAAAAACUGGUGCAGAACUUCUAAAGAAAACAAAAUGCUUUCAAGUCAAGCUUAACAAACUUGUGCAGCCUCAAGGUUUUUGGAAUUGACAAUCCAAUAAUGACAGACAAAAUAAUUUUCAAACAAAUAACAAAAAAUAAAUUAAUAACAUGAUAAAAUACGAAAAUAAUGCAAAAAUUACAUAAUUGGCUACUUUUUACAAAGUAACGUUAGUCAUACAAAAUACUAUCUAGCACUUAUAAAAGUUAGUAUUGACACUUAAAGAACAAAUACAAAAUGUUCAGAUCAAAACAGUAACAGUAAAGACUAAUACAAUGUAACAGUACCGACAAUACAAAUAAAUUAUGAUGCAUUGUGGUUAUAUUAGAGAUUUAACCACAUGUUAGCCUUUUUAAAUUUUUUUUCAAUUUAAGAAGAAUUUCCUUCAAGUAGUAUAAUAAUACAUUAUACUGCUAAAAUUAAAAAAAACAAAGGCUUUAUUCAAAACAAUAAUUUGAUUAAAAUGCUAAAAUGUAUAAACAUGAUAACAAGACAAUGAAAAAAUGUUUUCUUUCUGAAAAUAUUACACAACUGGACAAUUUGUUUUGAGAGUAUUUUUGCAUUGCUUUUCUCAUAUGACAAAAUGACUCAUAAUUAUAAUGAUAAUUUACAUACAGCAAUUAUAAUGAGACAUUAUCUUCAAAUGAUUAAAAGUUUUUUGCAACAAUAAGACCUUACUUUAGCAUGUUGAUAAAAAACAACUGUUCUGCUAGUUAAAAGAUCA
rnacentral:lncRNA from 1 species